UGGGGAAUCUUGCGCAAUGGGCGAAAGCCUGACGCAGCCAUGCCGCGUGAAUGAUGAAGGUCUUAGGAUUGUAAAAUUCUUUCACCGGGGACGAUAAUGACGGUACCCGGAGAAGAAGCCCCGGCUAACUUCGUGCCAGCAGCCGCGGUAAUACGAAGGGGGCUAGCGUUGCUCGGAAUUACUGGGCGUAAAGGGAGCGUAGGCGGACAUUUAAGUCAGGGGUGAAAUCCCGGGGCUCAACCUCGGAAUUGCCUUUGAUACUGGGUGUCUUGAGUAUGAGAGAGGUGUGUGGAACUCCGAGUGUAGAGGUGAAAUUCGUAGAUAUUCGGAAGAACACCAGUGGCGAAGGCGACACACUGGCUCAUUACUGACGCUGAGGCUCGAAAGCGUGGGGAGCAAACAGGAUUAGAUACCCUGGUAGUCCACGCCGUAAACGAUGAUUGCUAGUUGUCGGGAUGCAUGCAUUUCGGUGACGCAGCUAACGCAUUAAGCAAUCCGCCUGGGGAGUACGGUCGCAAGAUUAAAACUCAAAUGAAUUGACGGGGUCAUAGCUGUUUCCUG
rnacentral:rRNA from 1 species